ACUACUGGGUUUGUUGUUCUUUUCAAAAGAAAUUAGCUAAAUGGAUACAAAAUUAUUAGGAACAAACAAUCGGGCGAUCUUUUUUUAAUUUUUAUGAUGUUAGUGUUCGGUCCAGCUUGCGUGCAUCUCGCUAUUUUAUUAGGUACCUGCUACCUCCCACAACUCUGCCCACCAAGGCUUGGGCGGCAGAUGGAAAGAAAUUAC
rnacentral:lncRNA from 1 species